CGGUUAUUUGUCUAUACGGAGUCUAUUUUGCUUCUCGCCAAAGGUCAGCCAGGAUAGAUUCCAGCUCACUCAAUGAGGACUUUUAAAUGGACACCUCACCGCUUUGAGGGACAGCUGUUGUUCCGUUUCAUCGUCGUCGACGUCAACUUUGUACUCCCGUUUGUCCGAUUUGAGGGUGCAACCUGGACAAAGACAUGGGACAUGCCGCUCGGACGGACGUGUCGCCCAGCGAAUGGAGAGGACGCAGAGGGCGACAAAGGCGCCAAACGCUGCAGCCAAUAGAACCGCAGAGGAGGCGGGCCAAAAGAAAUUGUACA